UUUGACUAUAUUUUUAGGUUCAGACAUAGACUUUGCAGCAUAAAGACGGCGCCGGAGCACCGAAGCACACUCUGCCUCCACAGUUUUAAAGGGUUGAAGGCCAUGGAUGGCCAUUCAUUAAUGAUCCCUCCGCAGGUUCACCUACGGAGA
rnacentral:misc_RNA from 1 species